GUGGGAAGCCAGGUGCCAUGUAAUGAGGACACUCAGGCAUUCUACGGAGAAACCCACAUGGCAGAGAAUGGAAGCCUAUGGCCAAUAACCAACAGGAAUUGAGACCUGCUAGCAACUAACCACAUGAUCCUGGUAGCAGAUUCUCAAGCCCCAAGUUUUGCCCGUUCGGAUCCUGGGCGCAGACCAAGCACUGCUCAUCAAGCCAUGCUGAGGCAGCGUUCCACAUAGCACAAGCAGAGGCACUCACAGCUGGAAUAUACAACUAUGUACUGGGGGCCUUUGGGGAGAAGAAGAAGAAGAAAAAGAAGAAGAUUGGCAACAGAAGUUAGCUCAGUUCUGAACAUCAAUCAAAAUCAGAGAAGCUCACCAUCCUGAUUCUGAUUCAGAAAUGAUUUGUUGUCCUCUCAACGGUUAAUCACAGAAUACAAAUUCCAAGGCUGAUCUGUAACUGAAAGAAAAGAAUUAGCUGAAGAGUGUGAAAGAAUAGUAUAAAAUGCUCACUAGAAGAGACAUAAAUACCUCUGCCUUCUGAGGUUCCUGAGGGUUGCAUGUCUUAGUCAUCUUUAUAUUCCUAGUAAUGGCUUGCCAAG
rnacentral:lncRNA from 1 species